UACGUAGGUGGCAAGCGUUGUCCGGAUUUAUUGGGUUUAAAGGGUGCGUAGGCGGCUUUGUAAGUCAGUGGUGAAAUAUGGCAGCUCAACUGACUCAGGGUGCCAUUGAUACUGCGGAGCUUGAGUACAGAUGGAGGUAGGCGGAAUUGACGGAUCGUAGCGGUGAAAUGCUUAGAUAUCGUCAAGAACACCGAUAGCGAAGGCAGCUUACUAGGCUGUAAACUGACGCUGGAGGCACGAAAGUGUGGGGAUCAAACAGG
rnacentral:rRNA from 1 species